GAACAUCUCUUAAUGUCGCUAGAUUGAAUUUCUUAAAAGUAUAAUGAAUCGUGUGUUCUGUAUAUUCCUUGAUAGACGAUCACUUACCCUGAAGCAAAGUGCAAGGCCAGCAUCUUCACUACCCUCUGUUCCUUCCCAACUCCCACGCAGAUAGCUGCUUAGCGUUGGGAGUAGUACCUAAGUUAACUAACCUUCAUGCUCUUCUUCCUGAAUCCCUAAAUUCAUACUAAAAGCUUAUAGUCUAUAGAAGUGGAUCUUAAAUAGAAAUAGGCAAAUCGAAAGUAGAGAUAAAUGACCUCCAGGAAAUUAAUUCUGUCUUACAUUGAUUAGUUCUAAGGUCGCCCUGGUGAGGCUGGAAGGGUUCUGAUCAGAGUCAGAAUUCUUACAUGUGAAUUUUAGUGAUCUUGGGUGAGUCAGUCACCCUCUCUGAGUCCCUGCUUCUUUAUUAUAACCUAGAGAUUUAAAAAAACUAAAGGAUUUAGGAGAUGAUUAUAUGACUAAAGUUUGCAGAAAAAUCUAGAUCAAUUAUAAAACCUGGCAUGUGGUAGGUUAUGCCUUUGACCAGGUGGAUGAUCACUUACAGACUCCUUACCAUGAAACAGUCUACUCCUUGUUGGAUACGCUCAGCCCUGCCUACCGAGACGCAUUUGGAAACGCACUUCUUCAAAGACUGGAAGCUUUGAAAACGGAUGGACAGUCAUGACUAAGCUUUUCCUUUUAGAGGGGGCUGUGCUGGUGCAAAAUGUUGACAUAAAGCUUGAAAUUCUUGCAUAUGGUCAUAGUAGAAAAUGCAUCUUUGGUUUUAUGUCUUUAUCAUUUCUUGCUUCAAAUUUAGGCUUUUGACUCAGAACAUGAUUCACUAACGAACUGUCUUUUUUAGUUUCUGAUUCAUUAAGGAAAUCCUGAGGCUAUUGCUGUGACACCAUCAUUAAGACAUUCCGAUAUCUUCAUGUAGUGUCUCUGCAUUUGAAAACCUAAUCAGUAUUUCAUUCUGUUAUUACGGGACUUUGAUGCUGCCAGCACUCCCUUUUACAUGGGAAAUUCUAGGUUUGCACAGUAAUAUAGCAAUUAAAAUGACCUAGUUUCAAACUUUGAUUCAGCUUGCUAAAUCAGGGGUUUACUACUAGCUUGGACUGACUUUGGAGUAAUUAUUUUGCUACUAGCCUUAUUGGAAACAAACUAUCGACUAGUUUCCCCUGCACAAAUUUUGAAAUUCAGUGCUUCACUUACUCUAUUUAUAUUACUAAUAUGGACUAAUAAAGAUGAAUAAUUAUGUAUUACUUAGCUAGUAUUAAAUGAGAAACAGGUACUGAAAUAGUUCUGUAUUCCUCGUUUGCAACAGCCAGCCAACUAAGAGGACAAACCUUUAGGAAAUGAAUGUAAUAAUUACUUGUUUCCAAGAUAUUUAAGCACAUAAGCAAAUACAGGAACAGGCUCCAUUCUUUUUCUUAGUAAAUAGCAUCGUCAAUGUGUGUGAUUUAAAAGAAAGAAGAUUCUGAUUUCCUGAAAAACAAUAUUUUGGCCUGUGUUGAUUCUUCUUAUGAAUGUUUGUUUACAUAAUGUACAGAAAGUAUUUUUGCUUCAACGUUUACUUUCUAUAAUGUAGUGCUUUGGUAUUCCCACAGCGCCCCUCCUUCCCCGACAGAUGUACAGUGCUCUGUCUCAAUGCUAAAUCUUCAACGGAACGUGAGUGCAUUGUAUGGGUUUGAAACCAAAGGAUGAAUGAAACAUUCAGAGACUUAAUAUUUGAAAAAAAGAAACUCUGUAUUUUAUAUUUUAUUACAGGUACUAAUAUUUAUAAAAAUAAACUGUACCAUUGCUGCUACAUGUUUUCAAGUACAUGUUGAAUAAUAAAGAUUGGGGAGUUGUUUUUUUAAAAGUAGUCUAAAGCGGCAGCUGUAGAAAUGUUGAUCGAAAAUUCUGCCUCUGGUCACACCUUCAUAAUUUGUCAUUUGCAGACUUUUUAAAGUCAUUAUUAAAUAAUAGGUACUUUUAGCCUCUGAAGAUCACGUGGACCAGAGCAAAUUCAAGUUCCGUUCGGGUCGUUACUCAUUGUCAGACUUCACUGGAAUGCUUUAAUUACGUUUGGUAAAUGCAUGUUCAUUCUCAGCUUUAUUUUCAGAUGCCUAACUGUUUGGGCACUGAAGUCUAACUUCAGGUUGAACUUUCUCGUGCUUAAUCUCAGGCUAAAUGUAAAGGAUAUUUGUAAAGUUUGAAUAAAGUUCUGUUUACUCAUUUUGAGUUAAGUAUGAAGAAAAGUGACUGUAUGUUUAAAAAUUGAAAUUGUUCAUUUUGUGAUAAAUGAUUGAUUCCAAGAGCUUCUGUUUCCAUUUUUGAAUUCCAUAUUGUUAGAUUUUGAUGUGAAAUGAUUUGCUCUUUUUAUUACCAUGAAAGAGGAACAGAGAGAGAAAACAUUAAUAAAACUACACAGAUUAUAAAACCUCCACUAGGGGCCAGCCCCGUGGCCGAGUGGUUAAGUUCUCUUGCUCCACUUCAGCGGCCCAGGGUUUUGCCAGUUCGAAUCCUGGGCACGGACAUGGCAGCACUCUCAAGCCAUGCUGAGGCAGUGUCCCACAUGCCACAACUAGAAGGACCCACAACUAAAAAUACACAACUAUGUACCAGGGGGCUUUGGGAGAAAAAGGAAAAAUAAAAUCUUAAAAAAAAAAUAAAACCUCCACUAGAUAAGAAAACCUUCAUUUUAUCUAGAUUGUUUAAAGAAUUUAACCAGAUAAAUUGUUUUGAUUUCACUUCCAAAAGAAAAGAGAAACUCUAAAUAAUUAAUUCUUACAAAUCAAUGAGAAAAAAAUGAGAACAGUGGGUAAAUAAUAUUAUCAAACAACUCAGAAAAAUAUACAGAUGUCCAGUAACCACUUGAAAGAUAUUCAACCUGACCAGUAAUUCAAGGAAGGAAAAUAAGUGUAGCUAUGUUGAGCCAUUUCACCUAAUAAUCUAAUAAUUUCUCUUAAAUAUAAUGAUGUCAAUAAAGAUUUAGUGAGGGGCACUCUUCCAUUUUGCUGGAGGAUACAGUAUGGUGAAACCUUUCUGGAAAACCUUGGUAACAAAGCCUUUACAAAGCUUACAGCUUCUGUACCGGUAAUAUCCUAGCAGUCUAGCAGAGGGAAAUCAUUGAGCAGAAGAUACACUACGAGGAUGUUCAUUUCUCUAAUGGAAAAUUGGAAAGGCUCUAAAAAGUGGUUAAGUUAUGAAAUCCUUUUGGUGGAAAAAUAUGCAGCCAUUAAAAAUUAUGAAAAAAAUGACAAUAGGGAAAAAUUGCUACAUGAAAAAAAGGAUAUAAAACUAUAAUCUAUUUUGAAAAAUAAUCAUAUGCAGUAGAAGGAAAAAUGAAAUAAAAUAUUCUACGAUGGUAAUAGUAGUCAUCACUAGGUAGUAAGAUAGGUAAUUUUCAUUCUCUUUAUGCUUUUUCACAUUUUCUACAUUACCUUGUAUGUGCUAAUUGGAGGGGAAAUGCAACCGAUACGGGGUUUCAGGUAGUUGAAGAGCGUUUCUCUCUAGCGGAAGCACCAAGCUGUGCCGACUUGUGUCCGCUCCCAGGAUCCUUGAAGAGACAGUAUGAUUAUGAAGAAAAAGACUGCACACCUCAUUUCCCAUA
rnacentral:lncRNA from 1 species